CCUACGGGAGGCAGCAGUCGGGAAUAUUGCGCAAUGGAGGAAACUCUGACGCAGUGACGCCGCGUGCAGGAAGAAGGUCUUCGGAUUGUAAACUGCUUUAGACAGGGAAGAAAAAAGACAGUACCUGUAGAUUCAGCUCCGGCGCAAUACGUGCCACCACCGCCGGUAAAACGUAGGGAGCAGGCGUUAUCCGGGUUUAUUGGGUGUAAAGGGUGCGUAGGGGGAGAAGCAAGUUAGUUGGGAAAUACCCGGGUUUAAAGGAGGAACUGCAACUAAAACUACUGCCCUUGAGUACGGGAGAGGAAAGUGGAAUUCCUGGUGUAGCGGUGAAAUGCAUAGAUAUUAGGAGGAACACCAGUGGCGAAGGCGACUUACUGGAGAGUAACUGACGUUGAGGCACGAAAGUGUGGGGAGCAAACAGGAUUAGAUACCCCAGUAGUC
rnacentral:rRNA from 1 species